ACGCUCGACACCUACGGGAGGAGCAGUAGGGAAUCUUCCACAAUGGACGCAAGUCUGAUGGAGCAACGCCGCGUGAGUGAAGAAGGUUUUCGGAUCGUAAAGCUCUGUUGUUGGUGAAGAAGGAUAGAGGUAGUAACUGGCCUUUAUUUGACGGUAAUCAACCAGAAAGUCACGGCUAACUACGUGUCAGCAGCCGCGGUAAUCUGAGCGGGCUGGCAAGGC
rnacentral:rRNA from 1 species